rnacentral:rRNA from 1 species
UUUAACUGAAGAGUUUGAUCAUGGCUCAGAUUGAACGCUGGCGGCAGGCUUAACACAUGCAAGUCGAGCGGGGGAAGGUAGCUUGCUACUGGACCUAGCGGCGGACGGGUGAGUAAUGCUUAGGAAUCUGCCUAUUAGUGGGGGACAACAUCUCGAAAGGGAUGCUAAUACCGCAUACGUCCUACGGGAGAAAGCAGGGGAUCUUCGGACCUUGCGCUAAUAGAUGAGCCUAAGUCGGAUUAGCUAGUUGGUGGGGUAAAGGCCUACCAAGGCGACGAUCUGUAGCGGGUCUGAGAGGAUGAUCCGCCACACUGGGACUGAGACACGGCCCAGACUCCUACGGGAGGCAGCAGUGGGGAAUAUUGGACAAUGGGGGGAACCCUGAUCCAGCCAUGCCGCGUGUGUGAAGAAGGCCUUAUGGUUGUAAAGCACUUUAAGCGAGGAGGAGGCUACUUUAGUUAAUACCUAGAGAUAGUGGACGUUACUCGCAGAAUAAGCACCGGCUAACUCUGUGCCAGCAGCCGCGGUAAUACAGAGGGUGCGAGCGUUAAUCGGAUUUACUGGGCGUAAAGCGUGCGUAGGCGGCUUAUUAAGUCGGAUGUGAAAUCCCCGAGCUUAACUUGGGAAUUGCAUUCGAUACUGGUGAGCUAGAGUAUGGGAGAGGAUGGUAGAAUUCCAGGUGUAGCGGUGAAAUGCGUAGAGAUCUGGAGGAAUACCGAUGGCGAAGGCAGCCAUCUGGCCUAAUACUGACGCUGAGGUACGAAAGCAUGGGGAGCAAACAGGAUUAGAUACCCUGGUAGUCCAUGCCGUAAACGAUGUCUACUAGCCGUUGGGGCCUUUGAGGCUUUAGUGGCGCAGCUAACGCGAUAAGUAGACCGCCUGGGGAGUACGGUCGCAAGACUAAAACUCAAAUGAAUUGACGGGGGCCCGCACAAGCGGUGGAGCAUGUGGUUUAAUUCGAUGCAACGCGAAGAACCUUACCUGGCCUUGACAUACUAGAAACUUUCCAGAGAUGGAUUGGUGCCUUCGGGAAUCUAGAUACAGGUGCUGCAUGGCUGUCGUCAGCUCGUGUCGUGAGAUGUUGGGUUAAGUCCCGCAACGAGCGCAACCCUUUUCCUU